CGCGAGAGGUGACAUGAAUUUCCUCACGCGCGCGAGCAGAAAUAUGAAUAUUUAAAUUAUCUCCUCCCACUGGUUAGCAUAACAAAUGAGGCGGAAGUUUGUUUAGUCCAUAAUAGUCAAACACAGAUCUCAGAUCUCAAUUGUUGAUAGACUAUCGUUGCUACGGUGACUGCAACCGACCACCUUUGAAACACAACUGAAACGCAACUCACGGCUGCUGCUGACAAGGGCAUUCACCUCUUUAUUCGUAAACCCAUUUUAUUUUUUGGUGGAUGAAAACAUUGUGUCAAUAUGCUAUGUCUAUGUUCGCCUUAUUCACCCGGAACGUUCUAAAGACGUUGAGGGGUACACUUCAGGGGUACAUUCGGCAACGCACCAGCUGUCAUGGCGCCUCACUGUUGUGUGCCCAAAUGUUCGUCCUCAAAGAGAAAAAAAUCCUUCCGUGGACAGACUUUCCACCGUUUCCCCAAAGAGCAGGCACUUCGCCGUGAAUGUAUAAAUCACAUCAAGAGGGAUCCUGGUCCAUAUUUCAAGAUCAACACUGAGACCAAGGUUUGCUCUGAGCACUUUGAGAAGGAGUGUUUUGUAAAGACCGCCCGUGGUAUCACAAAGCUUAUAAAGGAUGCUGUGCCAACUAUCGCCUGGACUUCAGAGAGGCCAAAGAGGAGAAUCAUCAUUCGCAGACCGAGAGAUGAUGAACCAUUCCUGAAGUUGGACGCCAGAAUGCAGGAAGGUGCUGUUUAAGAGCCUAGGCGGUGGAAGAAGCACUUGCAGGUAUGCUACCGACCAGGCUCCUCAACAUCAAUCCGAGACGGAAGAUGAAACGGGAUGAAGCAGUUAGAUUGAGGAUAACGUACCUCAACAGUCUUCUUCAGAUUCUCUACAAACACAGUCUGAGUGGUGAUUAGAACAUGCCUGGCAUCCAAGGGUGUGGCCAGUUUGUUAACCCUUUACACUCUACACUUUACAAUUAGAAUUAUUGUACACUGUCUGGACAAGAUGUAGAAUACUACUGAGCGACAGUGAUAUGUCAUGUUCUUAAUACUGUUAUAUCCUGUCAUUACAGACAAGGCGGCCGGAAACUUUGAUGACCUCAAUGACACUGGCUAGGUGAAGGACAUCAACAAAAUGGCAUCAGGUCACCAGACAUCAGCUCAUAAUCCACAACGUCAUCAACCAUUUUGCGCCAAAAAUGCAGCCGUUCACAUACCAUGGCAUCCUAAGCAGGCAGCACUACACUACUGUGCAACAGUGAGAGAGAGCGGGCAAGGACAAGUAAAGCGGACCUACACUACAGCAAGACUUUGACACUUCUCCACGUUAGAGGCAGUCAUCACCCCCACCGUUUA